GUCCUCAGCCGCACGGGAAGCGCCGUCACCGCCGCCGCCGCCGCCAUCUUCGUCUCCACGUAAACACACGGCGAGGCGGGAGGGGCUGGAACGUCUGUCCGCGCAGCCGCCUCGUGGGCAGGUGCUCCUGGGGUGCCGCCCCGGCCCAGCCCUCCGGGGUCAACCCUUGCCAGGCCUGGGACCUGCCUCCUACCAGCGAGGAUCCCGCCGUAGAGAGCGCCCUUCCCGCACAUCAACGGCUCACAGGUGGCGGCCGAGCUGAGGGGUUACAAAACUAACACACCUAAUGGUGAAAUUGGCGAACACCUACAAGCUCCAACGGAAAAGUUCCGGUGGGGGGUGGUGGGGGGGCGGACGCCAGGUUUUCUACCUACAUUAACUGCUUGACUCAAGAAUUAUGAGAGCAGCUAAUUGCUCUUAUUACUUCCUUAGCCUGAAAAGUCCCUCCCUCUUCCCUCCACUGGUUCCCACUCAAUCUCCGGUUCAUCCUUAUAGUCCCAUCGCACACGCUGCCUCCAAAUGGCUUUUCUGACCUCUUGUUCCCUCCACGGCAACCGAGACACAUCCAGUCAAAACUUAGUCCCCUCCCCCGACUCUUUGGGGCUUCCCUUUAACAGUAGUGUUCUGAAAGGAGCCUGAGCUUUAGAACCUCGGUUAGGGACAAUGCCAGACUACACUAACUUUCUAGCGUUAAUGACAAGUUACCUAUCCUCCCUGAGCCUACCUGGAAUUUUUGGAAGGGUUGUUAAUAUAUGUGACUGCCCUGACAUAUUAAAACGUCCUGAAUAAUGUCAGCUUUAUUUCUCCUUGGACUUCCUUUAAGUACCCUGCACCAUAUUUUAAUAAUUUGUGUGCGUCUUAGUUCAGCUCAUACUCCCAGCUCCUUGAUGACAGAGACUCAUCAUAAGUCUUGCUCAUCUUGGCUUUACUAAAAUGACCAGCACAGAGCUCUGCACUCAAUAAACGCUUUUUGGAUUGAAUUGAGCAGUGUUUAUAAAUUUAACAUUACUAUCUUUCCUUGUUUCCCCGACAUGUGCUCCCUCAGUCCUUUGUGUUCGUCUCCCUGCCCUCCAAUGCUCACAUCCAUUCCUGGAGUGAACUACACAUUUUAAUGUCUCUGGUUGAUUACUCAGAUUUAUCAUGUUUCUCCGUUGCUUUGAGCUAGGUUGGACUGAAAAACUAGCAGUUGUGAACAAAAAAUAGGCUAAAAUGAGUUCAAGCGUAGAAGUGGUGUUAAGUGAAAAAUUGAGGUUAAAAAACAAAAAAGGAGAUAAUAAAGACCUUAAGUCUACCACAAACUGAAGAUGAGUUUUAAAUAGCC
rnacentral:lncRNA from 1 species